AAUUAAUAAAUAAUAAUAGUUUUUGUUUACAUUCACAAAUCCAAUAUCUACUACCACCGUUUGCAAGAAUGUUAUCAACCCAAGCUGGGGUUAGUUUGUUUAUUUUUCAUUCGUUUUUGGAGUAAUGUUUUGACUCCUUGGCUCUGAAAUUAAGCCACAAAAAAAAAAAGCUACCAUUCCAUAAAGAAACCUACUCCACAAUUCCACGGCUCGCAAUACUCCCACAAACACUGGGGCUCUCCUCCUACUGUGCUCUUGCUGCAGUGCAGACUGCUGCCACCUGCCCUCAAAGAAGAAAUAUUACAGUUCACGUUUGGAAGACAUCUCACCACACUAUGGAUUUAAUCCUGGUUAAGUAUGUUGCCUGUGGCACCCUUAAACACGUGAGUGGCUUAUCAAUUUUCCCCUACUCACCUUCCAUCAUUCCAUUAAUUAUUUCUUCUAAUUUAUAUCCCUCUCUCUUUUUUUGCAGUUGCAAUUUACUGACGUCAUGUCUCACAUGCAUGCCUAACAUUGGACCUGGAUGUGGAUGAGGAGGAAGCAAAUAGAAAAACACAUGAGGUUUUUUCAGCACUUCAUAGUUUUUUGACAUCGAAAUAAUUUCUUCUAUGCCAUUGUCAGUGUAUCACCUCCACACUUCCCAGAGCUACAAAUCUAAACUCAUGCUUUAUCUUGGCCCUGGUAUUUUGAUUCCAUUCUGACCACCAGGGAUCUGAAUGCUGCUCAGCUCCAUGCAAGAUAACAUAUUUAUCAGCAUAUGACACGCACAUUUAACUCCUGAAAAGCUUUCUGUUAAAGACGGAAGAAAGAGUGAAGAUAAUGUUGAAGAUAAAGUUCUUAAAGGGUCCCAGUAGGUUGCAGUUUGCGCAGUCCUCCUUGAUAUAUCAAUCCCCCUUCAAAUCACAGUGUCCCUUUCACAGUCACGUUCUAAAGAUCAUGCACUUACCCUGAGGAGGAGCAAUGGUCCUGCCAGAAGCCGAUGCUGGAGGGUCUUGAAUGCAGCUUUCUGUUAAAGACGGAAGAAAGAGUGAAGAGUCAAGCUCUAUGAUUUUGACCCCUGCUGCUGAAUCCAGGGACAUCCUCUGCCAGAAGGACAUCUCUUAGCUCCGCCUCCCACUCUCGCAACUUGAUAGGCUUUCCUCGGUUUUGUCCUAGUCGAAGCCUCUGCAUCUUCUUUGUAACCGUUGCCCGACAAUCAUAGAACCUGCAAAUGUACAUAAACAUUACAAUUACAUUAAUAAAAAAACAAAUACUUAGAUUAAUGUUUUUUGAAAACCACAUUUCUUUUCACAUUGUGAUGGUUAUAUGUAUACUGUUCAGCAUGUGGCUGUGACAAAUAAAUUUUUUGGUUACGUUGAACUGUUA